rnacentral:rRNA from 1 species
UGGGGAAUAUUGGACAAUGGGCGCAAGCCUGAUCCAGCCAUGCCGCGUGAGUGACGAAGGCCUUAGGGUUGUAAAGCUCUUUUAGUGGGGAAGAUAAUGACGGUACCCACAGAAAAAGCCCCGGCUAACUUCGUGCCAGCAGCCGCGGUAAUACGAAGGGGGCUAGCGUUGUUCGGAUUUACUGGGCGUAAAGCGCACGUAGGCGGAUCGUUAAGUCGGGGGUGAAAUCCUGGAGCUCAACUCCAGAACUGCCUUCGAUACUGGCGAUCUCGAGUCCGGAAGAGGUGAGUGGAACUCCUAGUGUAGAGGUGGAAUUCGUAGAUAUUAGGAAGAACACCAGUGGCGAAGGCGGCUCACUGGUCCGGUACUGACGCUGAGGUGCGAAAGCGUGGGGAGCAAACAGGAUUAGAUACCCUAGUAGUCCCUGAGCGGGCUGGCAAGGCGCAU